UACGAGGGGGGCGAGCGUUGUUCGGAAUUAUUGGGCGUACAGGGUGCGUAGGCGGCCUGACAAGUCUGAUGUGAAAUCCCUGGGCUCAACCCAGGGCCUGCAUCGGAAACUGUCGGGCUUGAGUAUGGGAGAGGUGAGUGGAAUUUCCGGUGUAGCGGUGAAAUGCGUAGAUAUCGGAAGGAACACCUGUGGCGAAAGCGGCUCACUGGACCAUUACUGACGCUGAGGCACGAAAGCUAGGGGAGCAAACAGG
rnacentral:rRNA from 1 species